AGCGAACGCUGGCGGCAGGCCUAACACAUGCAAGUCGAACGAACUCUUCGGAGUUAGUGGCGGACGGGUGAGUAACACGUGGGAACGUGCCUUUAGGUUCGGAAUAACUCAGGGAAACUUGUGCUAAUACCGAAUGUGCCCUUCGGGGGAAAGAUUUAUCGCCUUUAGAGCGGCCCGCGUCUGAUUAGCUAGUUGGUGAGGUAAAGGCUCACCAAGGCGACGAUCAGUAGCUGGUCUGAGAGGAUGAUCAGCCACAUUGGGACUGAGACACGGCCCAAACUCCUACGGGAGGCAGCAGUGGGGAAUCUUGCGCAAUGGGCGAAAGCCUGACGCAGCCAUGCCGCGUGAAUGAUGAAGGUCUUAGGAUUGUAAAAUUCUUUCACCGGGGACGAUAAUGACGGUACCCGGAGAAGAAGCCCCGGCUAACUUCGUGCCAGCAGCCGCAGUAA
rnacentral:rRNA from 1 species